rnacentral:rRNA from 1 species
UUGGUCAGGUAACGGCUGACCAAGGCGACGAUGUCUAGGGGUUCUGAGAGGAAGGUCCCCCACACUGGAACUGAGACACGGUCCAGACUCCUACGGGAGGCAGCAGUGAGGAAUAUUGGACAAUGGUCGGAAGACUGAUCCAGCCAUGCCGCGUGAAGGUUACGGUCCUAUGGAUUUUAAACUUCUUUUAUGCGGGAGCAAUAAGGUGCACGUGUGCAUCGAUGAGAGUACCUCAUGAAUAAGCAUCGGCUAACUCCGUGCCAGCAGCCGCGGUAAUACGGAGGAUGCAAGCGUUAUCCGGAUUUAUUGGGUUUAAAGGGUGCGUAGGCGGAAUUAUAAGUCAGCGGUGAAAUUCACAGGCUCAACCUGUGCCGUGCCGUUGAAACUGUAACUCUAGAAUACGGAUGCUGUGGGAGGAAUGUGUAGUGUAGCGGUGAAAUGCAUAGAUAUUACACAGAACACCGAUUGCGAAGGCAUCUCACAAAGUCGUCAUUGACGCUGAGGCACGAAAGUGUGGGGAUCAAACAGGAUUAGAUACCCUGGUAGUCCACUACUGUAAACGAUGAUAACUCGCUGCCGGCGACACACUGUCGGUGGCCCAGCGAAAGC